rnacentral:rRNA from 1 species
UAACCUGCCCAAGAGAUCGGGAUAACACCUUGAAACAGAUGCUAAUACCGGAUAACAACAGAUGAUGCCUAUCAACUGUUUAAAAGAUGGUUCUGCUAUCACUCUUGGAUGGACCUGCGGUGCAUUAGCUAGUUGGUAGGGUAACGGCCUACCAAGGCGAUGAUGCAUAGCCGAGUUGAGAGACUGAUCGGCCACAUUGGGACUGAGACACGGCCCAAACUCCUAAGGGAGGCAGCAGAA